GGAUUUGUGCGAGCUAAGGAGUUGGAGGGCAGCUCUCCGUUUGGCAGAUAAUCGGAUGCUACAACGUAAGUAACCUUAAAAAUCUCGACCUGAUUAGUUACUUAUCCGCCAAAGGAGAGUUGCCCUACGACUGCUUCAGCUUGAUAUAUAUAUCAAUGCAUAUGUGUAUAUAAAAGUGCCUAACCAACUUUGUUGGCGUGAGUGGCGGCGCACUCUUCUUACUUAAGAGAGGUCGGGAGUCCGAAUCCACUCACGUAUGGAAAAACCAAUCUGGCGAGUACUUUAUCCCUUAAUUGGGCCAGCCCGGUGCGUACGAAGAUUAGUCUGAGUAUGUACAGACUUAAAAGUGUCUCUUACUAGUUAGGGUAUGCUCAGAACAACUCAUGGUCUCAAAAAAAAAAAUGCGAGUGCCUUCUUGUUCGAGUAUAGAGAGAUACUUCAAUUCUUAAAAGAUAUGAUCUUGAAUGGGCUGGCCAUAUCACCAUUGGAAGUGCAUGUAGGUGGAUGAAUAAGUCGAUUUUACAAGGCACCAACUAGGCAAUUAAUUCACAAACUCAUAUACCAUAUGUUUUACAUGAAUGCAAAUACUGACAGAGCUAAGUGCACAAGUUAAUAUAACUUGUUCCAAUUGUUGAGAAAACAUAUUCUGAAUCAUCUAAAUAGUAGAUGUCCAGGAAUCAUGAACAGACCAUGCUAUGUUAAAUAAGGUUGUGAUAGUUAUUUCAGAGUGAUGUAUAACAAAGAAGAUCCACUUAUUUGUUUUCU